AAGGGACUCCGCUUCAUCAAAAACAACAAUUAAUUGUUGAUUUGCUGAUUUCAGAUGCGGUCAUAGAGACACAAUAAUGAAGAACCCAGUAGACGUACCAUUGACAUGGUAACAACAGAAAGCAUAAAAAGAAAUCCCCAAAAUCAUUUAGGAUGAUGGGAAAAUAUAUAUUGUCAAUGAGGCAGCUCUAUUAUAAGUGGAUGCCACGUUUUCUCACUGUUGACCAAAAAUAAGAACGUGCUGAUGAUUAUUAACAGUGUUUGGGCAAGUUUAAAUUUAACAAACCCGAACUCUUGCGUCAUUCUGUAACAAUGGAUGAAAAUAUGUAACUUGUGCAAGAACUUACGUGAGGUGGAUUAUAUACAUAGGUAUAUACGAUGUAAUAUGUGGGUAUCAUAUUGAUUGAUAUAAUGAAAUUCACAGAAAAGUUUGAAAAAAAGACAAUGGAGCGGUAAAGGG
rnacentral:lncRNA from 1 species